UUCUUUUUUCUUUCUCUCUCUCUCGUUCGCAAAAGAAGAAGCAGAAGCGAUUUGGGCGAUUCAUGUAAUUCGGUAUGAAUCCGCCGGAAUCAAUCAUCUUCGGCCGUCGUCCCGUCAUCCUGAAGAACUCCAGCGAUCCUUCGCCAUCCUUCUUCUUCCUUUACUCCGUUACGUCUCCUUUUUCACAUAGUUCGCUCUUUGUUGAUCUUUCGAUUUCAUGCUUAGUUAGGGUUUGUACUAGUCUUAGGGUUUUGAGUUACUUUACUUGUCCGAUUCACACACAAAGAAAAGCUUGACUUUUUUGCGGUUAUUGUGUUUCGUUGAUCUUGUAUAACUUGGCUGUUCUGUUUGAUUCAGUACUUGAAUGCUACUAAAUUUAGACGAUUUGGUUUAUAGAGUGUGUUGGAGAGGGUUGCAGUGAUUUGGAUUUUGAUGAGGUUUGUUUUGUAGUGUUGUGGCCUCUGUUGGCUUUUGAGAAGAAGCAUCUCAUUAAUUGCAUUGUUCUAUCCAUCUUCACUCUCUCCAUUUCCUUCUCUGUGGGGAUUUGCUGCUCUCUUUCCAAAGUUAUGGAUAGAUACAGAGAUAUCAUGCAUACUUGGUCUGCUUCUAGUGUUGGAGUGCUGAUAAAAUACAUAUUGUCUCAGAUCCACUUGCCGCUUGUUGCCUUGGAUUGUUCUCUGUUUGAAAUAAUAAACCAACAUUGGAUAAUGGGAGGAUUGUUAUGGAGGCUGCAAUUCUCACAGCUGCGAUGGUCUUUGGGCUAACGAUCUACACCUUCUGGGCAGUAAAGAGAGGUCAUGAUUUCUUCUUUCUCGGACCAUUCCUCUUUGGUGCACUCCUCAUUAACCGAUGAAACAGAUGCAGCUAUUCCACCCUCUAGGGAAGCUAUCAUAGAUGAUAUUCAGCGGAUUAGCUUCAAUCGUGUUCUGCGGAUACAUCAUCUAUGAUACGAACCAGCUGAUCAAGAAACUCAACUACAACGAGUAUAUCCAUGCUGCCAUUCGUCUCUACAUGGACGUCAUCAAUCUCCUCUGCAUCAUGAGCAACGGCCAGUGACAUGUGAUUCAUCUUGUCUAGUGGUGUCCUUAAUAGCCUACUAAUUCUAGACGUAGAUUUAUUGAAUAUUAAGAAGACAAUAUAGAUGUAUCGUGACUUGUGAGUGUUUAUUGCUUAACAAUACCAAACAUUUUUCACAAGCAGAUUAGUAUAGCAUGUGAUAAAAGAUCCUCAAUGAUAUAGAAUAUAUUUGUUUUCUAA